rnacentral:rRNA from 1 species
CGGUGGCUAUAGCGGCAGGGCCACACCCGUUCCCAUCUCGAACACGGAAGUUAAGUCUGCCAGCGCCUAUGGUACUGCGGCAAUUGUCGUGGGAGAGUCGGUCGUUGCCG